rnacentral:rRNA from 1 species
CCCUUAGAUGUCCUGGGCUGCACGCGCGCUACACUGGAAGUUACGGAUUGAGAUACUACCUUGUCCGAAAUGGUCCGGGUAAUCACCUAAAAGCUUGUCAUAAUUGGAAUGGAUUAUUGUAACUAGUAAUCCUGAACGAGGAAUUCCUAGUAAGUGCAAGUCAACAGCUUGCGUUGAUUACGUCCCUGCCCUUUGUACACACCGCCCGUCGCUACUACUGAUUGGAUGUUUAAGCGAGGUUCUCGAACUGCUAGUGACUGAUCUUCGGUGAGGUCGCAGUGUGGGAAGUGAACCUAGCUUUGGUGUCUAGAGGAAGUAAAAGUCGUAACA